rnacentral:rRNA from 1 species
AGCGAACGCUGGCGGCAGGCCUAACACAUGCAAGUCGAACGAACCCUUCGGGGUUAGUGGCGGACGGGUGAGUAACACGUGGGAACGUGCCUUUAGGUUCGGAAUAACUCAGGGAAACUUGUGCUAAUACCGAAUGUGCCCUUCGGGGGAAAGAUUUAUCGCCUUUAGAGCGGCCCGCGUCUGAUUAGCUAGUUGGUGAGGUAAAGGCUCACCAAGGCUACGAUCAGUAGCUGGUCUGAGAGGAUGACCAGCCACAUUGGGACUGAGAAACGGCCCAAACUCCUACGGGAGGCAGCAGUGGGGAAUCUUGCGCAAUGGGCGAAAGCCUGACGCAGCCAUGCCGCGUGGAUGAUGAAGGUCUUAGGAUUGUAAAAUCCUUUCACCGGUGAAGAUAAUGACUGUAGCCGGAGAAGAAGCCCCGGCUAACUUCGUGCCAGCCGCCGCCGUAAUAC